UGCGUAGGUGGUUUCUUAAGUCAGGAGUGAAAGGCUACGGCUCAACCGUAGUAAGCUCUUGAAACUGGGAAACUUGAGUGCAGGAGAGGAAAGUGGAAUUCCUAGUGUAGCGGUGAAAUGCGUAGAUAUUAGGAGGAACACCAGUGGCGAAGGCGGCUUUCUGGACUGUAACUGACACUGAGGCUCGAAAGCCAGGGGAGCGAACG
rnacentral:rRNA from 1 species